rnacentral:snRNA from 1 species
AUCGCUUCUCGGCCUGUUGGCCAAGAUUAAGUUUAGUAACUGUUCUCAUCAGUUUAACAUCUGAUACGUCUCCUAUCAGGGGAUCUUAUAUUGAAUUCACUUUUGGAGCAGGGAGAUGGAAUAGGAGCUUGUUCCGUCCAGUCCACGCAUCGGUCUGGUAUUUGCAGUAUGUCAAGAAAUGGUGCAUCUCCU